GGGGCAUUAGCUCAAUUGGUAGAGCACCUGCUUUGCAGCAGGAGGUCAGGAGUUCGAUUCUCCUAUGCUCCA
rnacentral:tRNA from 1 species